rnacentral:rRNA from 1 species
CCUGAUGGCGAGUGGCGAACGGGUGAGUAAUGCAUCGGAACGUGCCCAAUCGUGGGGGAUAACGCAGCGAAAGCUGUGCUAAUACCGCAUACGAUCUACGGAUGAAAGCGGGGGAUCGCAAGACCUCAUGCUCAUGGAGCGGCCGAUAUCUGAUUAGCUAGUUGGCAGGGUAAAAGCCUACCAAGGCUUCGAUCAGUAGCUGGUCUGAGAGGACGACCAGCCACACUGGGACUGAGAUACGGCCCAGACUCC